rnacentral:rRNA from 1 species
GAUGAACGCUGGCGGCGUGCUUAACACAUGCAAGUCGAACGGAAAGGCCCAAGCUUGCUUGGGUACUCGAGUGGCGAACGGGUGAGUAACACGUGGGUGAUCUGCCCUGCACUUCGGGAUAAGCCUGGGAAACUGGGUCUAAUACCGGAUAGGACCACUUCUUGGAUGUUGUGGUGGAAAGUUUUUUCGGUGUGGGAUGAGCUCGCGUCCUAUCAGCUUGUUGGUGGGGUAAUGGCCUACCAAGGCGUCGACGGGUAGCCGGCCUGAGAGGGUGUACGGCCACAUUGGGACUGAGAUACGGCCCAGACUCCUACGGGAGGCAGCAGUGGGGAAUAUUGCACAAUGGGCGAAAGCCUAAUGCAGCGACGCCGCGUGGGGGAUGACGGCCUUCGGGUUGUAAACUCCUUUCGCUAGGGACGAAGCGUUUUGUGACGGUACCUGGAGAAGAAGCACCGGCUAACUACGUG